rnacentral:misc_RNA from 1 species
AGCGUCAUUUAAACCAAUCUAGCCUUGUGCCUAGGUAUUGGGUCUUUCGCCUCUAUAGGCGGGCCUUAAAAUCAGUGGCGGUGCAUCUGGCUCUAAGCGUAGUAAUACUUCUCGCUAUAGACGUCAGGCGGUGUCUUGCCAGAAACCCCUCAUUUUCAAAGGUUGACCUCGGAUCAGGUAGGGAUACCCGCUGAACUUAA